rnacentral:rRNA from 1 species
AUGAACGCUGGCGGCGCGCCUAACACCUGCAAGUCGAACGAUUAAAGCACCUUCGGGUGUGUAUAAAGUGGCGAACGGCUGAGUAACACGUGGGCAACCUGCCCCUUUCAUUGGGAUAGCCACGGGAAACCGUGGAUAAUACCGAAUACUUCGAGACUUCCGCAUGGAAGACUCGAGAAAGCUCCGGCGGAGAGGGAUGGGCCCGCGGCCUGUUAGCUUGUUGGUGGGGUAACGGCCUACCAAGGCAAUGAUGGGUAGCUGGGUUGAGAGACCGACCAGCCAGAUUGGGACUGAGACACGGCCCAGACUCCUACGGGAGGCAGCAGUGGGGAAUCUUGCACAAUGGGCGAAAGCCUGAUGCAGCGACGCCGCGUGCGGGAUGAAGGCCUUCGGGUUGUAAACCGCUCUCAGCAGGGACGAGGCGAAAGUGACGGUACCUGCAGAAGAAGCCCCGGCUAACUACGUG